rnacentral:rRNA from 1 species
GUGCACCAGGCGCGAAAACUUUACAAUGCUGGCAACAGCGAUAAGGGGACCUCGAGUGCCAGGAUACAAUCUUGGCUGUCGCGAUGCCUAAAAAGCAUUGCAUAGCAAGGGCCGGGCAAGACCGGUGCCAGCCGCCGCGGUAACACCGGCGGCUCGAGUGGUAACCGCUAUUAUUGGGUCUAAAGGGUCUGUAGCCGGCCGGAUAAGUCUCUUGGGAAAUCCAGCAGCUCAACUGUUGGGCUUUCAGGAGAUACUGUUCGGCUCGAGGCCGGGAGAGGUGAGAGGUACUUCAGGGGUAGGGGUGAAAUCUUGUAAUCCUUGAAGGACCACCAGUGGCGAAGGCGUCUCACCAGAACGGACCUGACGGCAAGGGACGAAAGCUAGGGGCACGAACCGGAUUAGAUACCCGGGUAGUCCUAGCCGUAAACGAUACUCGCUAGGUGUCAGCCACGGUGCGACCGUGGUUGGUGCCGUAGGGAAGCCGUGAAGCGAGCCACCUGGGAAGUACGGCCGCAAGGCUGAAACUUAAAGGAAUUGGCGGGGGAGCAC